GUUUUCUUUUUCUGAUGUUUUUUAACCAAAAGCCUUGGUGAAACUUUAGAUCUUGCAGAGGGGAGGGAAAUACCCGCUAAAGGAUGUGCCUUUUCCCUUUCAGCUCCUGGUCACCUUUGAGGAGGUGGCUGUGUCUUUCUCCCAAGAGGAGUGGGAUCACCUGGAUCCAGGACAGAGGACUCUCUACAAAGAGGUCAUGCUGGAGAAUUACAGGAAUGUGAUCUCUCUGGGUAAGGAUCCUGCCCUCUGAGGGCUUUCGCUUAGGCUUUCUGCUGCGCACUGUGAAGAUACCCCUGUGAAGGUCAUCUGGUGGUCCCUCCAUGACCCUUGGGGACCCUUCAUAGGAUUCAGGGUUCCAGAUGCUAAAAACUAAGAAAGGGAUGUAGGUGUGGCUGAGGGAACAUAAGAACCCAGCACCUGCUAGAACAAACCAGACCCCAUGAUCUCCAUCUCCUCCUGGACCCACCAUUCCCUUCCUCUCUGGGCCCCACGGUGGCCAUGUGUGUGCUCCAGCAAGAAGGGCGGGAGGACAUAAGCAUAAACCCCCUCUCUCUUUUGACAGUGAUGUGUACUUAAUCGUACUUGUGGUCACUUAAGGGGGGGGCAUAUUUUGCAUUUGGCAGAAUUCAGCUGGCCUUUUUCUACCCCCCAAGUCCCCAGGCCUGUCCUUAUCUUUUAUCUGGAGGAAGGAGAUGAUCCAUUUCCCCAGGACCCAUCAGUCAGAGACGGAUCAGCUGGUGGCUGCUCUGGGAACACACAUGGAGGGUCACCUCAUGAGUUUCCUAAGCGAGGAGCUGGAAAGAGGGAAGAAACGAAGGUGCAAAAGGUGGGUGAGACUUGGAGGGAGAGACCCUCAGUGCUGCAAGCCAAAUGCAACCCGGACUUCUGUGCAGUGCAAGGUUGAUCUGGAAGGCAAGGCCAGGUCUGCACUUGGAAGGAGGGUGGGUGGAGGUGGGUGUGGAUGGAAAGAUACCCCUCUGUGAAGAGACCUCUAGCACAACUUCCCUGCAGUGCAGGCCUAGGAGAGAGAACCGUCUGUUACAUACAGCACUGAUGUUCCCUGUCUGUCAUGGGUUUGGAGGGAAAGUUCCAUCCU
rnacentral:lncRNA from 1 species